UACGUAGGGUGCAGGCGUUAAUCGGAAUUACUGGGCGUAAAGCGUGCGCAGGCGGUUAUGUAAGACAGUUGUGAAAUCCCCGGGCUCAACCUGGGAACUGCAUUUGUGACUGCAUGGCUAGAGUACGGUAGAGGGGGAUGGAAUUCCGCGUGUAGCAGUGAAAUGCGUAGAUAUGCGGAGGAACACCGAUGGCGAAGGCAAUCCCCUGGACCUGUACUGACGCUCAUGCACGAAAGCGUGGGGAGCAAACAGG
rnacentral:rRNA from 1 species